GAUGAAGAACGCAGCGAAAUGCGAUAAGUAAUGUGAAUUGCAGAAUUCAGUGGAUCAUCGAAUCUUUGAACGCACAUUGCGCCCCCUGGUAUUCCGGGGGGCAUGCCUGUUCGAGCGUCAUUUCACCACUCAAGCCUCGCUUGGUAUUGGGCAACGCGGUCCGCCGCGUGCCUCAAAUCGACCGGCUGGGUCUUCUGUCCCCUAAGCGUUGUGGAAACUAUUCGCUAAAGGGUGUUCGGGAGGCUACGCCGUAAAACAACCCCAUUUCUAAGGUUGACCUCGGAUCAGGUAGGGAUACCCGCUGAACUUAAGCAUAUCAAUAAGCGGAGGA
rnacentral:misc_RNA from 1 species